ACGCUGGCGGCAUGCCUUACACAUGCAAGUCGAACGGCAGCACGGAGCUUGCUCUGGUGGCGAGUGGCGAACGGGUGAGUAAUAUAUCGGAACGUACCCUAGAGUGGGGGAUAACGUAGCGAAAGUUACGCUAAUACCGCAUACGAUCUAAGGAUGAAAGUGGGGGAUCGCAAGACCUCAUGCUCGUGGAGCGGCCGAUAUCUGAUUAGCUAGUUGGUAGGGUAAAAGCCUACCAAGGCAUCGAUCAGUAGCUGGUCUGAGAGGACGACCAGCCACACUGGAACUGAGACACGGUCCAGACUCCUACGGGAGGCAGCAGUGGGGAAUUUUGGACAAUGGGCGAAAGCCUGAUCCAGCAAUGCCGCGUGAGUGAAGAAGGCCUUCGGGUUGUAAAGCUCUUUUGUCAGGGAAGAAACGGUGAAAGCUAAUAUCUUUUGCUAAUGACGGUACCUGAAGAAUAAGCACCGGCUAACUACGUGCCAGCAGCCGCGGUAAUACGUAGGGUGCAAGCGUUAAUCGGAAUUACUGGGCGUAAAGCGUGCGCAGGCGGUUUUGUAAGUCUGAUGUGAAAUCCCCGGGCUCAACCUGGGAAUUGCAUUGGAGACUGCAAGGCUAGAAUCUGGCAGAGGGGGGUAGAAUUCCACGUGUAGCAGUGAAAUGCGUAGAUAUGUGGAGGAACACCGAUGGCGAAGGCAGCCCCCUGGGUCAAGAUUGACGCUCAUGCACGAAAGCGUGGGGAGCAAAC
rnacentral:rRNA from 1 species